UCAGUCGACUCCUACGGGGAGGCAGCAGUGGGGAAUAUUGCACAAUGGAGGAAACCCUGAUGCAGCCAUGCCGCGUGUGUGAAGAAGGCCUUCGGGUUGUAAAGCACUUUCAGUAGGGAGGAAGGUAGUGUAGUUAACACCUGCAUUAUUUGACGUUACCUACAGAAGAAGCACCGGCUAACUCCGUGCCAGCAGCCGCGGUAAUACGGAGGGUGCGAGCGUUAAUCGGAAUUACUGGGCGUAAAGCGCAUGCAGGCGGCCUGUUAAGUCAGAUGUGAAAGCCCGGGGCUUAACCUCGGAAUUGCAUUUGAAACUGGCAGGCUAGAGUCUUGUAGAGGGGGGUAGGAAUUUCAGGUGUAGCGGUGAAAUGCGUAGAGAUCUGAAGGAAUACCAGUGGCGAAGGCGGCCCCCUGGACAAAGACUGACGCUCAGAUGCGAAAGCGUGGGGAGCAAACAGGAUUAGAUACCCUGGUAG
rnacentral:rRNA from 1 species